rnacentral:rRNA from 1 species
GACGAACGCUGGCGGCGUGCCUAAUACAUGCAAGUAGAACGCUGAAGGAGGAGCUUGCUUCUCUGGAUGAGUUGCGAACGGGUGAGUAACGCGUAGGUAACCUGCCUGGUAGCGGGGGAUAACUAUUGGAAACGAUAGCUAAUACCGCAUAAGAGUAGAUGUCGCAUGACAUUUGCUUAAAAGGUGCAAUUGCAUCACUACCAGAUGGACCUGCGUUGUAUUAGCUAGUUGGUGAGGUAACGGCUCACCAAGGCAACGAUACAUAGCCGACCUGAGAGGGGGGUCGGCCACACUGGGACUGGGACACGGCCCAGACUCCUACGGGAGGCAGCAGUAGGGAAUCUUCGGCAAUGGACGGAAGUCUGACCGAGCAACGCCGCGUGAGUGAAGAAGGUUUUCGGAUCGUAAAGCUCUGUUGUAAGAGAAGAACGAGUGUGAGAGUGGAAAGUUCACACUGUGACGGUAUCUUACCAGAAAGGGACGGCUAACUACGUG